GUCUCCGUGCGGGCGCUCUGCCUGGGGCUCCUCCGGCUCCAUCAGCGCCCGCCCUCCGGAGCCCGCAGCUCAGCCUGAGCGCUCGUCCCGGGGCGCGCAGCACCUCUGCAUGUGUUUCAUUGGGACCUCUGUUGUUUUCGACGGAGCUCAAGCGAAGCGGGCAUCAACAUCACUUAGUAGCUUGAAUAUUUUCUCCCGUGGACUCGCGUGUAAACGUGUAAAAUGUGUUCUGCGAAGCCCAACCCAGCAGCUUGAAGAGCUGUGAUGAGCCCGUGCCUGUGCUGAAGGUCAGGUGUAGGUGCUUUCUGACACCUCCAGGAGGAGCCCAGCUGGGGGCUGUUAUAGAUAGCUUGUACUGGGGAUGUGGAGGGCUGUGAUAGCAUUACCUGGAAGGAAGCGAGCACUCUUGGCAGAUAAGGCUGGAAAAGAAUAGCCUCGGACGUAGGAUGUUGCCCAGGAGCACCCAGGACAACCAUCUCUUUGCUCAAGAAACAACAUUACAUCAUUCCAACCGGAAUCUCACCUUGCUUGCUGUUGUUCUGUGUGGCUUACCUGGUGGUGGGGAGAGAAGAGGAGAUGGAGAAAACAAUGCUGCGUGUUAGGAAAUAUGAGACAAAGUGAGUUAGCCGCAAGGCAGUCUCUGCCCCACAUAUUGUGAUGAAGAUCUGGAACACAAAAACACCUCACGUAACUUUUAAAGCUUCAAACCUGUGAUUUAUAAUGGGACUGCAAUGUACAGUGGCCUCAAAUUAGACUUUAUUGUGUAGCUUUAAUCUUCUUUCUUGCUCAGCUCUGAUUGUUGCUUUCUUAUGAGCAAGCAAAAACUGAUGUACAAAGAUGGACAGUUGCUUCUGUAUUACAGUUUGCUUCCCCAUCACAGUGUAGCCAGAGAUUCUGAAUUCACAUGCACAUAAUAGACUGUGAGGAAGUACAGCACAAUCAUCUUGAGCUCCGAAAAAAAAUCACCUGUGUGUGUGUGCAGCAUAUAAUUACAGGAGAAGCAGUAGCAAUAACUUCCAAAUGAACAUUACCAAAUACUUCCAGUGGAAAAAUGCUUAUGAUCUUUUGUGAAGUGUUCUGUGUCUCCAUGGCUAGCAACAGGCCUUUGAAACUUGACACCUUCUUGUUGGCUGUUUUGAGAACAAAACAAACAAACAAAAAAAAAAAACGAACAACAAAAAAAAAAAAACCAAAACAAAAAACCCACAAAUGUUCAGACUGUAUGAAUUGUAAGCUAUUUUAAAAUCUUAUUUCUUGUCCUUGGUUCUCAUAUGUUUUGGCAAUAUCUCAGAAUCCUGCAAUAAUCUACAGAGCUUAUGGUUGUCUGUUGUCAGCAUUUACCCUUGGUGUGCUAUAUACUCCAGGUGGGACACACAGAGAAUAACUACCCUUCAACCUGGAAUAUCCUUUUGCUUGCAAGUACUGUCCACUGGGAGCAACAGAAUGAUGGUGCUACACUUCUUUUCCUGUCCAGGAAUAAUAUUUUUUGUCUUAUAAUAGAACUGUGCCUUUACACUGAACAGGCCAAACCAAGACAGAGUAUUGUCUACAAGCUGGGGCAUCAGCCUACGUCUUUGGACAUGUAAGUUGAGUUCUAGCUGAUCACAGAUAACAUAAGUUUUUAUACAAAUAAAUCAGCCUUUCUGUGUCUCUGUUCUUUUUUUUUUCCUUCUUUUUCUCCCUCCUCUCUCUUUUUUUUUUCUUUUUUCUUUCCUGUAGGAUAGAAAGAAGGAAGAAUUGUGCAAUUAAUUGUUGCUAUGUUUUAAUUGUUCAACACGUCACUUAUUGGAUGAAAUUCUAGCCUAAAAGCAGGAGUGUGAUAUAUAAUGUGACAUAAUGGAUUUUAAUUAUGUUUGGGCCAUACCAUGGCAGACAAAACUGCUAUUAUCCUCAUUGGAAACCAGAUUAAUAGAAUGACGUUGACGAUCAGCAUUUGAUCAAUCAACACUGUGACCGAUGUCGUGAGGAGCUGUGUGGAAUGCACCACCACUGUAUGCCAGCACCCUGGCAGGAAUGAACUGGAAAGAGACUGAUGGUGGAUAAGUGGCUAGCCUACUUUGACUAUAUAAAGAUCAUCUAUCUCCCUCUCUGUUGGCCUUUGUCUCAGCUGUGGAGAAACUGGUUCAGCAGCUUGAAGAAAAAGAAACUGGUUCAAUGGCUCCUCCACUUGUACAGACCAGUGUUUCAGCCACUAGAAGUAUGCGUUCCUCUGCACAAGAGAGAGGAUAUAGAGAGUACACACCAUGUACCAUCCUGUGGUUUUACCUGCGUGACCAUGGAGAGCUUAUGAGGAAAUGGGAUGGAGAAGUCACCUUGGCCCUACA
rnacentral:lncRNA from 1 species